UACGGGGGGGGGCAAGCGUUGUUCGGAAUUACUGGGCGUAAUGGGCUCGUAGGCGGCCAACUAAGUCAGACGUGAAAUCCCUCGGCUCAACCGGGGAACUGCGUCUGAUACUGGAUGGCUUGAGUUCGGGAGAGGGAUGCGGAAUUCCAGGUGUAGCGGUGAAAUGCGUAGAUAUCUGGAGGAACACCGGUGGCGAAGGUGGCAUCCUGGACCGACACUGACGCUGAGGAGCGAAAGCCAGGGGAGCAAACGGG
rnacentral:rRNA from 1 species